CCUACGGGAGGCAGCAGUGAGGAAUAUUGGUCAAUGGGCGCGAGCCUGAACCAGCCAAGUCGCGUGAGGGAUGACUGCCCUACGGGUUGUAAACCUCUUUUGUCAGGGAACAAAGUCAGGCACGUGUGCCCGGUUGGAUGUACCUUAAGAAAAAGGAUCGGCUAACUCCGUGCCAGCAGCCGCGGUAAUACGGAGGAUGCGAGCGUUAUCCGGAUUUAUUGGGUUUAAAGGGAGCGUAGGGGGGUUGUUAAGUCAGGUGGGAAAGUUCGGGGCUCAACCCUAGCAGUGCAGUUGAAACUGGCAGUCUUGAGUGCAGGUGAGGUAGGCGGAAUGCGUGGUGUAGCGGUGAAAUGCAUAGAUAUCACGAAGAACUCCGAUUGCGAAGGCAGCUUAC
rnacentral:rRNA from 1 species